rnacentral:rRNA from 1 species
UAUGUAGGGGGCAAGCGUUGUCCGGAAUCAUUGGGCGUAAAGAGCGUGUAGGCGGCUUGAUAAGUCCGCUGUGAAAGUCCAGGGCUCAACCCUGGAAUGCCGGUGGAAACUGUCAAGCUUGAGUCCGGAAGAGGCGAGUGGAAUUCCUGGUGUAGCGGUGAAAUGCGCAGAUAUCAGGAGGAACACCAAUGGCGAAGGCAGCUCGCUGGGACGGUACUGACGCUGAGACGCGAAAGCGUGGGGAGCAAACAGG